rnacentral:sRNA from 1 species
GUGAAGGCUUCCGUCCCUGGAGAGGAGGCGGCGCGCUGUAUCGGCCUUCGUCCUCCGCGGGUGUGCUAGCGUUGGGACGGUCCUUUGUUGCCGCGAGGGGUAGGAGUGGGCGUGGCGGAGCCAGCUCCGUCCGGAACACUCCCGGGCCGACCCGACUCGCUCAUCCUGCAGGAGCUGCGGCGCCAAGAUGAGUGGAGAGGAGAACCCAGCCAGCAAGCCCACGCCGGUGCAGGACGUACAGGGCGACGGGCGCUGGAUGUCCCUGCACCAUCGGUUCGUGGCUGACAGCAAAGAUAAGGAACCCGAAGUCGUCUUCAUCGGGGACUCCUUGGUCCAGCUCAUGCACCAGUGCGAGAUCUGGCGCGAGCUCUUCUCUCCUCUGCAUGCACUUAACUUUGGCAUUGGUGGUGACGGCACACAGCAUGUACUGUGGCGGCUGGAGAAUGGGGAGCUGGAACACAUCCGGCCCAAGGUGAGCAGGGCUCGGGUGGGGCUCUAAAACAUCUUUUGGCUGCCGCCUCACCGCUGCUUCAUGUCUCUUUUUCCACAGAUUGUGGUGGUCUGGGUGGGCACCAACAACCACGGACACACAGCAGAGCAGGUGACUGGCGGCAUCAAGGCCAUUGUGCAACUGGUGAAUGAGCGACAGCCCCAGGCCCGGGUUGUGGUGCUGGUGAGAGGCUGGGAGAGUGGGAAAGGAAGAAUGGCAGUGGUCUGGGACCCCCU